CUCAACUUGACAGAUAAAUGUGUUAGGUUUAGGACCUAUUUAUGCGCUAAGCGCAGUUGAUA
rnacentral:tRNA from 1 species